rnacentral:lncRNA from 1 species
GACAUAGUGUAGCUGAGUAGACACUCUUAUGUUUUAUGAUCAACCUACUGUGAUGAUGAUGUCACUUAAAAAUUCAACUAAACAGCCGACCUGAUUCUGUGAAAUCUUCAGAUUCGUUGAAACAGACGGAGUAAUCGUCUGGUAUAUCAUUUAACGACUCUUCAGAAGCGAGGGAUGCAACACAUGUGUUUUAAACACACUCUGAUUUUGGCAAUUAUCACGAGAAUCUAAUAGGACACUUGUCAUAACAAUCUACAGGAGAUCAGUGCAUGAGAUCAUGCAAUUCAGUUACGCAAUGUACAUGAAGCUAUGACCGCUGACUCUCCGCCUACUUGCAAUAUUCCUUCAACCCAUAUUUGCGUGACACUGGUAUAUUGAAAGAUGCUGGACAUUUUGGACAUCGAUGAGGUUUCUCUUCAGCAUGUUGUUCCAUAUGCUUACGGUAAAGGAUUUGUUUCUUGAACUCUUCACCACAAAUUUCACAUUUAUGAUCCGUCUGGAAUAAAUAAAAUAUAUUAAAA